rnacentral:rRNA from 1 species
GGGUGAGUAAUGUCUGGGAAACUGCCUGAUGGAGGGGGAUAACUACUGGAAACGGUGGCUAAUACCGCAUAACGUCGCAAGACCAAAGAGGGGGACCUUCGGGCCUCUUGCCAUCAGAUGUGCCCAGAUGGGAUUAGCUUGUUGGUGAGGUAACGGCUCACCAAGGCGACGAUCCCUAGCUGGUCUGAGAGGAUGACCAGCCACACUGGAACUGAGACACGGUCCAGACUCCUACGGGAGGCAGCAGUGGGGAAUAUUGCACAAUGGGCGCAAGCCUGAUGCAGCCAUGCCGCGUGUAUGAAGAAGGCCUUCGGGUUGUAAAGUACUU